UACGAAGGGUGCAAGCGUUACUCGGAAUUACUGGGCGUAAAGCGUGCGUAGGUGGUUCGUUAAGUCUGAUGUGAAAGCCCCGGGCUCAACCUGGGAAUGGCAUUGGAAACUGGCUUGCUAGAGUGUGGCAGAGGGGGGUGGAAUUCCGCGUGUAGCAGUGAAAUGCGUAGAGAUGCGGAGGAACACCGAUGGCGAAGGCAGCCCCCUGGGCCAACACUGACGCUCAGGCACGAAAGCGUGGGGAGCAAACAGG
rnacentral:rRNA from 1 species